rnacentral:lncRNA from 1 species
UUUUAAUCUGUUUUACUCUGAAAUUAUUGUGUAUUAAGUACUUUGUUGUUCUUGCUGUUGUUUAGACUUUGCUAUUGAUGCAUAUGAAAAAAUCCACUUGUUACCUACUUUACUUGGAUGAAUUGCUAUCUGACGUUAACAGGAAAUGUAGGCAGAGUCCUGUAGGAUUCAUCUUUUGCAGCACUGUUGACAUUAUCAAGGAGAAUGAAUUCUGAUGGGGAAGUGCCUAGGAACGGGGAUCAGUUUAACCUCUACCACACAUAGGAAGGGAGUAAUCUGGUGGAUGUCCUAGAAAUGUCAUUGACAUGGUUAGUAAGAUCUUUCUCUUUGCAGUUUCCUGCUAUUUCUUGUGCUAAUGCUUGAGGUGCUUAAGA